rnacentral:rRNA from 1 species
AUUGAACGCUGGCGGCAUGCCUUACACAUGCAAGUCGAACGGCAGCACGGGUGCUUGCACCUGGUGGCGAGUGGCGAACGGGUGAGUAAUACAUCGGAACAUGUCCUGUAGUGGGGGAUAGCCCGGCGAAAGCCGGAUUAAUACCGCAUACGAUCUACGGAUGAAAGCGGGGGACCUUCGGGCCUCGCGCUAUAGGGUUGGCCGAUGGCUGAUUAGCUAGUUGGUGGGGUAAAGGCCUACCAAGGCGACGAUCAGUAGCUGGUCUGAGAGGACGACCAGCCACACUGGGACUGAGACACGGCCCAGACUCCUACGGGAGGCAGCAGUGGGGAAUUUUGGACGAAGGGCGAAAGCCUGAUCCAGCAAUGCCGCGUGUGUGAAGAAGGCCUUCGGGUUGUAAAGCACUUUUGUCCGGAAAGAAAUCCUUGGCCCUAAUACGGUCGGGGGAUGACGGUACCGGAAGAAUAAGCACCGGCUAACUACGUG